AUGUGCUCUCUAAAAAAGAGCACAGAAGACGAGAAUAUAAAGGGACUUUAUCCUGCCCGAGGGGGAAAAUCAUCCUACUUCCAUAGUGUGCUGGGGAUUGCUUCACACACUGUCCACUGCCGCCACCCACUGCAGUCUAUGGCAGCACAUGGUGGGAAUGGUUUGGAGGACUUGUGUUCUGAGGUCAUCAGGAAGACCAAAAUGAUCUUUUGUACUGCAAGGUGCUAACACUUGAUAUAGAUGAAAAUCUACAUAAACCAACGUAUCUGUCUGCAACAGGUAGGUACUAUUUAAAUGCCUUUUAGGGAGAAGGGAGAAGGUCUGAAGCUUGGCCGUGUCUUUAGCUUCUUUCCCAAUAUCUAGGCUUUGCCAUCCAGGAAAAAUCCAGAGCAGUGUACUAAAUCAAAGUAAUUGAUUGCAAAAAAAAAAAAAAAAAAAAAAAAAAAGUAAUUGAUUGCUUUACUGAGUGGUAACUUGACAGUUUAGAGAGUUGGACUUCUGUGGUUAUUGUUUGUAUAAAUAAUGUGUUUUAUGAACCAUAGUGAUAUGUGAUAAAAUCUCAUAAACACCUAUAGAUGUACUCAAAUCACCUUAGAUUAGGUAGUGGACUUUUAAUAAAACUUCUGCACAUUUGCUUGUAGAUUUCCUGGUUGAUUUCUUAGAAUCCUGGCAGCUUCUGAGCAACAGUUUUUUUCUAAGACUCUGAGGCAGUAGUUAUAUCGUUUAACAAUCCAAUCAGUAGUUUUAUCCUUAUUCUGGAUACACUUCCAUUAUAAACAGUUGAUGGAAAUACACACACACACAAACGUGUGUGUGUGCAUAUACACACACACAGGUCCGUACAUAAAAGCCAUUAUCCCUCAUAAGUUUUUCAUCUAUAUUCAUAAGCCAAAACUGAGUACUAUUGAGGAGCAUAUGGUUCUCUAAAAAUCUAUUAAGGAAAAAUUUGGAUUUAAGGGAAAUAAUUAUCCAUUAAAUUCUCAAAACAUUCUUGGAGCACCUGGGUGGCUCAGUUGAUCAAGUGUCUGACUCUUGAUAUCAGCUCAAAUCAUGAUCUUAGGGUCAUGAGUUCAGGUUCUUCAUUGGGCUCCAUAUAAAUAAUAAUAAAUAUUAUUAAAAUAAUAAUAAUAAUAAAAUAAAAGGAAAUUCUUAGAACAUUUUCAAUCUAGACUUUACCCUUAAGUGGAAAGAAUGGAGAAAUUUAAUAUGUCCAAUUUUUUGAAUCAUUUUCCCUCUGUUCUGUGCAAGAAAAACCAAUAUAAUUAAUGUGGUAUUGGUGUUAUUUUCUUAUUCUAGUUAGCUUACUUUAAUAAUAUCACUUAAUAUUCUUUUAUACUAAGUUUCUGAGUUGUUCAUGUACAAUGAAUGUAUCUGUGUUGUGAUUUCCUAGAUUCUUCAUGGAAUGUACUAUUUUAUUUCUGGAUAUCUGAUCAUAUUUAAAUGCCUUAAACUUUCCUGGUCAAAGAGUAACUUCUUUUCCCUUUAAUAUUCUGCAGAGGAAUUAAGCAGAUUCUUACAGGUUGAAAUGUUUAAAUAUGUCUUCAGAACACUCAUGGGAGAAACAGUAGCUCUGUCACAUUUUUAGCAGCAAAACACUUAAAAGAAGUAGCUGUCCAACAAAACUAAAACUGCUUGUGAAGUCCACUAGAGAUAAUCCCAUCCUAAAUUACUUGGCUGCAUUAGUACAUUCGUAUAAAAAAGAGCAAAAAAUAACAGGAAGGUAAGAUAGUUGUGUCUGAAACACUUGAGGUACUGAUAUAUAUUAACAGACAUCAGUUUCUAACUUGUGCUUUCAAAUUAUGAAAGGAAAUUAGUUUGAGAUGCUUUCUAUCUCAUUUUUGGAAAAUUUAAGAUAAUUUUAGAAUAGGUUAGAUUUAGAAUAGGUUUUUUUUCUUAGUUUGAAGAAAUAGUUGAGAAAGUAAAUAGGAAUUGUGUGCCAUGGCCUCUCCUCCAUCAACUGGAUCUCAGAAACAGCGUUCUGCUCUUCCUCUUGGCUUACAGAAACCAAGUUUCUGUACUUCUGCUGCUAGGUGGACACUGUGGGUGGACGGGGAGGGACAGAAGGAAUAGAAUACACAGACUUCUCUUUCCAUUUCAGUUUUCUAUCAUCUAUCGGCUAUGAAUGACCAAGCCUUGUUUCUGCCCACUUGCAGCCCCCUGAAAUGAAGCUGUAAGAGAUCACCACCCCCUAGCCCCCGCCAACAUUCACAAAUUGAUAGCUUCUGGGUCACAUUAGAAUGUUUUAAUUUUUUUAAAUUCAACUUUGCUUUUUUUGUUCUUUGCUUCUUUUAAAGUAAACUUUGUAUUCAAGUAC
rnacentral:lncRNA from 1 species